AGGGUUCGAUUAUGGCUCAGGACGAACGCUGGCGGCGUGCUUAACACAUGCAAGUCGAACGGAGCUAUCUCACCGAAACGGAUUUAAGCUUGCUUAUUGAAGGAUCACCGAGAUAACUUAGUGGCGGACGGGUGAGUAACGCGUGAGGAACCUGCCUUUCAGAGGGGGACAACAGUUGGAAACGACUGCUAAUACCGCAUGACACAUCGGAGCGGCAUCGCUUUGAUGUCAAAGAUUUAUCGCUGAAAGAUGGCCUCGCGUCUGAUUAGAUAGUUGGCGGGGUAACGGCCCACCAAGUCGACGAUCAGUAGCCGGACUGAGAGGUUGAACGGCCACAUUGGGACUGAGACACGGCCCAG
rnacentral:rRNA from 1 species